rfam:Oryza meridionalis cultivar OR44 (W2112) chromosome 6, whole genome shotgun sequence.
CCAGACCGCAGUUUUGUACGGUUUAUAUCCAAUGUUUAUCCGUCUAUCUUAUUUGGAAAAGAAAUUAUAAUGAGUAUUUUUUAUUGUUAUUAGAUGAUAUAACAUGAAUAAUAGAUUAUGUAUGACUAUUUUUAUUAAUUUUUUCAUAAUUUUUCAAAUAGGACGGACGGUCAAAUGUUGGAUACGGAAACCCACAACUGCACUUAAA